AAAGUCGGCAGGAUGCGCUGCUCUUGUCUUACUGAGACACUUUCUCCCACUACGGCAUGAAUGUCACAGCCGAAUGUUAGGGAAAAGGUGUGAAGAGCAAAACCUUCCCCCCAGCUGGGAAUGGGGCGCGGUGCCCUCACGGGUGAGGGCUGAGGGGAGCGGCCAUCCAGGUGCUCUCCGGGGGUUGCUGAUCACACCCCCAGCACAAUUUAUUGUAAAUAUCACAGAGUUGUCAGCAGGUAAAACGGUUUCCUCUUUUCACAGCUGUUGCUUCUUUGGAAAUGCAAAGCUGCCGCCUUGCUAAUAAGCAAGAUGGGUCCCUGUCCAUGGUGUAUCGCAAAAAUCAGAUCUCUGAGACUUUGAAAGGAAGGGGUUUUGAUCUUGAAAUUAUCUGCUGCUUCCUGACUUCGAUCCAGAACAAAUCCUUCAGAGGGGCCCUGAACCAUGAUUGCUGGAAAAAGCUGAAGCUACCAUUCUGAGACCCCACAGAAACAAGUUUACUGGGAACCUGUCUGCAAUGAAGGAUGAAGUGUAGUAAAAAAGAGCCCUCUUCUGUAUCCUUGAGUCAGAGCUGUGAAGGGUGAUGUUCUCUCACCAAGUAAAUGAAGCUCUAAGAAGGAUUUCUUGAUAGGCUGGAGAUUUCUUCUUGAAAAUUUCUUGAAUCUUUUCAAGAAGAUUUCUAUUCAAAGGCUUGGUGCUGCAACUUAAGGCAUUGGGACAACAGCAUUUUUCAGAAGAAUUGAGGCAACUAGACAGGGGCUUUAAUUGUCUUUGGUGUCUAUUUCUCUUGGAUUUAAUAGUAUGUGUAUUUUGUGUUAUGUGUGAUUGUGUUAAGAAUGCUAAUAUUUUAGAUAAACAUUUAUUGCUGUUUAACAGCUUUGUAAUGGAUAUGUGAGUAUCUAAGA